CGCGGCCUAUCAGCUUGUUGGUGAGGUAAUGGCUCACCAAGGCGACGACGGGUAGCCGGCCUGAGAGGGCGACCGGCCACACUGGGACUGAGACACGGCCCAGACUCCUACGGGAGGCAGCAGUGGGGAAUAUUGCACAAUGGGCGAAAGCCUGAUGCAGCGACGCCGCGUGAGGGAUGACGGCCUUCGGGUUGUAAACCUCUUUCAGCAGGGAAGAAGCGAAAGUGACGGUACCUGCAGAAGAAGCGCCGGCUAACUACGUGCCAGCAGCCGCGGUAAUACGUAGGGCGCAAGCGUUGUCCGGAAUUAUUGGGCGUAAAGAGCUCGUAGGCGGCUUGUCACGUCGGGUGUGAAAGCCCGGGGCUUAACCCCGGGUCUGCAUUCGAUACGGGCAGGCUAGAGUGUGGUAGGGGAGAUCGGAAUUCCUGGUGUAGCGGUGAAAUGCGCAGAUAUCAGGAGGAACACCGGUGGCGAAGGCGGAUCUCUGGGCCAUUACUGACGCUGAGGAGCGAAAGCGUGGGGAGCGAACAGGAUUAGAUACCCUGGUAGUCCACGCCGUAAACGGUGGGAACUAGGUGUUGGCGACAUUCCACGUCGUCGGUGCCGCAGCUAACGCAUUAAGUUCCCCGCC
rnacentral:rRNA from 1 species